rnacentral:tRNA from 1 species
CUAGACAGACGGGCCUGGAUCCCGCAAAAUUCUAAUUAACAGCUAGACGCCUAAACCAACGGGCUUCUGCCUA